AAGAAGGCAAAGGCAGACGAAGGAGACUCCAGUAGCUAGUUUUUCUAUUCUCCCCUGCGCGGGAACUUAUCCUUUUUCAUGUUAUUUCCCUUUUUCCCCAAAGAUUGUAUCCCUUUUUUGUUAUCGUUUGUACGUAUUUAUGCCCGUUUCGUAUCUAUAUAAGUUGGGGAAUAAUGGAUUGACUUUAGGGAAGCAUAUACUUUCUUCAAAAAUCGUU
rnacentral:lncRNA from 1 species